CUUAUAUUUACUUACUCCUAGACGUAGUAAAACUAACAAAACAUUUUUAUUUGAUAGAUACUCGGUGAAUAAAAUUUUUAAACAAAGCAGAAAUACUUGACAGUUUAACUGGGGGUUCAAUAUGUCGUACUUAGUGAUAAAAAAAUAAAAGACUGACAUACUUUACACGUGUGAGGAGUUACUGUUGUAGUGGGAAGUUGGGAAGGUAAGAUACAGACGAGAAUUUAAUACAUAUCUGUAAGCAGCGAUAAAUUUUCGCUUACGAAAAAACGAUUUUGAGUGUUAAAAUGAUUACAAAAAUGUGUUUCCAUGAUAACAAUG